rnacentral:lncRNA from 1 species
GGAUAAGGAGUUCAUUCUAGUAACUUCUGGCAGUUCAACAAUGGGAAAAACAGAAACAGCAACCAAAAGCAGUGUGCAGCUGCUUCCCUCUACGCUGUGUAGGUGAAUCUAAUUAUUUCUGUCAAGUAGCAGUGUGUCACAAUAGUGAACUGCUUAAAGAACAUGUAGGUGGAGCUCUAUGGUGUUUGAAAGGAGGAAAGUAAGCGAGUAGAUCCCUAAGAGGAAACAGCCUGAGCUGCUGUUUUCAGAUACUUGAGAAAAGGGGAGAUCUCAAGGCCACAGGAACUUGGGUUCUUUGCUGCCUGUCUUUUCCUAUGACGGUAAUUUCUUUCCUCUUUGAUUUCGUGAAGGUUCAUGAGGACAUGCAUUCUACAGGGGCUCUAGGACAUGUCUAGGGCAUACACGUUGGUACCUCAAGAGCAUUGUAGUUCCCAUGGAAGCCACAGGGAACUUUUUAUGUUGCUUAGAAGACUGUAUACCAUUGAUGCCAUUUUCUUCUCCUCAGUGUUCCUGACAGGCAGUGACCGGAUUCCCAUCUAUGGAAUGGCCAGUCUGCAGAUCGUCAUCCAGUCUACAGCCACUGGGGAGGAUUACUUACCUGUGGCCCAUACCUGCUACAACCUUCUCGACCUUCCCAAAUAUAGCAGCAAAGAGAUUAUGAAAGCUCGGCUGACCCAGGCCC